rnacentral:lncRNA from 1 species
CCAUUCCGAGUCCGGCGGACGAACUUCGCCCGCGCCCCCCACCAAGGCUAUAGCCCACCCGUUUUUUGGCCAUUUUUCCGCUGGGGGGUUUUCGCACCACGACCUUCGGGCGCUUAUUUUUGGGCGCGGCUUUGCCCGCGGCUUAUUUUUGGCACCCCGAGGCCCCUCGCAAAGUCUCGCCCCAUUCCGAGUCCGGCGGACGAAGUUCGCCCGCGCCCCCCACCAAGGCUAUAGCCCACCCGUUUUUUGGCCAUUCUUCCGCUGGGGGGUUUUGGCACCACGACGUUCGGGCGCUUAUUUUUGGGCGCGGCUUUGCCCGUGGCUUAUUUUUGGCACCCCGACGCCCCUCGCAAAGUCUCGCCCCAUUCCGAGUCCGGCGGACGAACUUCGCCCGCGCCCCCCACCAAGGCUAUAGCCCACCCGUUUUUUGGCCAUUUUUCCGCUGGGGGGUUUGGCACCACGACCUUCGGGCGCUUAUUUUUUUGCGCGGCUUAUUUUUGGCACCCCGAGGCCCCUCGCAAAGUCUCGCCCCAUUCCGAGUCCGGCGGACGAAGUUCGCCCGCGCCCCCCACCAAGGCUAUAGCCCACCCGUUUUUUGGCCAUUUUUCCGCUGGGGGGUUUUGGCACCACGACCUUCGGGCGCUUAUUUUUGGGCGCGGCUUUGCCCGCGGCUUAUUUUUGGCACCCCGAGGCCCCUCGCAAAGUCUC